UACGGUGGGGGCAAGCGUUGUUCGGAAUUACUGGGCGUAAAGGGCUCGUAGGCGGCCAACUAAGUCAUACGUGAAAUCCCUCGGCUUAACCGGGGAACUGCGUCUGAUACUGGAUGGCUUGAGUUCGGGAGAGGGAUGCGGAAUUCCAGGUGUAGCGGUGAAAUGCGUAGAUAUCUGGAGGAACACCGGUGGCGAAGGCGGCAUCCUGGACCGAUACUGACGCUGAGGAGCGAAAGCCAGGGGAGCAAACAGG
rnacentral:rRNA from 1 species